UAGGGAAUCUUCCGCAAUGGGCGAAAGCCUGACGGAGCAACGCCGCGUGAGUGAUGAAGGUCUUCGGGUUGUAAAGCUCUUUUGUCCGGGAAGAUAAUGACUGUACCGGAAGAAUAAGCCCCGGCUAACUUCGUGCCAGCAGCCGCGGUAAUACGAAGGGGGCUAGCGUUGCUCGGAAUCACUGGGCGUAAAGGGCGCGUAGGCGGACUUUUAAGUCGGGGGUGAAAGCCCAGGGCUCAACCCUGGAAUUGCCUUCGAUACUGGGAGUCUUGAGUUCGGAAGAGGUUGGUGGAACUGCGAGUGUAGAGGUGAAAUUCGUAGAUAUUCGCAAGAACACCGGUGGCGAAGGCGGCCAACUGGUCCGAAACUGACGCUGAGGCGCGAAAGCGUGGGGAGCAAACAGG
rnacentral:rRNA from 1 species